CCCUUGGUCCCUCAACAGGACUGUCAGAGGCCCUUUUCAGAGCCACUGCUUCGCUGGCCUCAUUGCCCUACUUGCUCCUCCAUCCUCACCACAUUUCAGGGCUCUGGCUGCUACAUGCUGUUCCUACUCCUAGAAUGCCAUUCCCACCUCCUCUGCUUUGCAAACUCCUGCCCAUCCCUUUGGGAAUCAGCACCAGAGACUCUUCCUUUCUGAAGCCUCCCCACUGCUGCAAGCAGAGAUGGACGCACCCUCCCUCCUCUACUAGCAACACCCCCACCGAGCCCAAUUAGACUCCUGCCAUAUUGUGGCCAGGGGUUGUUUGCUGUUCUCUCUCCCCGACUCAAAUGCCAGCUUGCUCACUAAGUCUCACUCCCGCCUGGAUUGCCCAUGCCCAGCCCGUGAUUGGUGCUCAGCAUCUGUUACAAUUAUUCCUAGUCAAAGAGGAGAAAAGUCCCCACCUAGGACGCCUCACUCAACCUUAGGCAAGUAGGGGAGGUGGUCCUUGGAGACUUAGGGCGAGGCAGCCUCCCGCCCCACUUAUCCUCCACCUGCUCCCACUUCUUUUGUGAUUUAAUUGGGAUUUGGUGCUUCAGCCUCUUGGCCGGCCCCUUUAGAAAGAGAGUCAUCAGCGGUGAAAGCCCUUCACAUCACUCACAUCAACAGGGCUUGCUGAAACGAUGCCCGUGGCCCUACCUACCUGGCCUCUCCAGCACCUGCACCAAGCAUGCGGGACCUGGCUAUCCAGUGUCCCUGCACCGGGCGGGGGCAUUAUCUUGGCGGUGUUGGAGCUUAGGAAAUUAAUGAAAAAGGAAGGAAAGGCCCUGGGAUCUCAGCCUCGCAGUCAGGGCUGGAUGACCCCUGAAGCGGGCAGUAUUCAGAAGCUAAUGUGCUGACCAGGGAAGCUCAGCUGGUCCCAGUCCUGUGCGCCCCGCAUCGCUUUCUCCUCGUGCCAGACCAUGAGCUGCUGGCCAAGAGGCAGCAGGCACGUUGCUGCAAAUGCCAAGCAGGGGCAGCUGUGCCAAGAUUUGCAGGAACAGAUGAUUCCUUCACAGCCCAGGAGGCUUAACCCAUCCGGCUACCCUCACUGAUUCGAAAGGAAAUCUGGAAGGAAACCGUUGCUGGUCACCAGCCACGUGCAGGCCCUGGUAGAGAAAUAAGCACGGUGAGCUGAACUGGCAUGUCUAAUGUGCAGUUGUAUGGCGUGCUGGUCUUCACUUAGGUUCUCAUCAUUGCUACAGUGGCCAGAGCUGGUUGGCAGAAGAGGCAAUAAGAAGCCUGGGAGCUGCAGCUACUGGAGCCCGUGGGCCUAGAGGCCGUGUUCCACAACAAGAGAAGCCACCACAGGGAGCAGCCCACACACUGCAACGAGAGAGGAGCCCCGACUUGCCGCAACUAGAGAAAAGCCCGCACGGCAACCAAGAC